GAAAGCCUGUUGAAACUACCAACACCUCCUGAAUGCAACUCAGACACUCUAAUUAAGCUAAGACUUC
rnacentral:tRNA from 2 species